rnacentral:rRNA from 1 species
UACAGAGGGGGCAAGCGUUGUUCGGAAUUACUGGGCGUAAAGGGCGCGUAGGCGGCCUUCUAAGUCGAACGUGAAAUCCCCGGGCUCAACCCGGGAACUGCGUCCGAUACUGGAAGGCUUGAAUCCGGGAGAGGAAUGUGGAAUUCCAGGUGUAGCGGUGAAAUGCGUAGAUAUCUGGAGGAACACCGGUGGCGAAGGCGACAUCCUGGACCGGUAUUGACGCUGAGGCGCGAAAGCCAGGGGAGCAAACGGG